rnacentral:rRNA from 1 species
AAUGAACGCUGGCGGCGUGCCUAACACAUGCAAGUCGAACGAGAAUUUUCCUUUCGGGGAAAUAGUAAAGUGGCGCAAGGGUGAGUAACACGUGAAUAAUCUGCCUACGAAUCUGGGAUAACGCGGGGAAACCUGUGCUAAUACCGGAUAAGACCACGUCUCUUAUGUGAUGUGGCCAAAGGAACCUCAAGUUCCGUUUGUAGAUGAGUUCGCGGACCAUUAGCUUGUUGGAGGGAUAACAGCCCCCCAAGGCGACGAUGGUUAGCCGGCCUGAGAGGGUGAUCGGCCACACUGGAACUGAGACACGGUCCAG